AAACCAUGAUUCAGCGACCGCAUCAAGUACUGCUUGAACCUCUCCCAUGCUUCAUACAAUUGUUCCCCCGAAAGUUGCUUGAACUCAUAAACUUUGUCUGGGAUU